GCCGGCCUAGCUCAAUUGGUAGAGCAACUGACUUGUAAUCAGUAGGUUGGGUGUUCAAGUCCUCUGGCCGGCACCA
rnacentral:tRNA from 23 species